UACGUAGGGGGCAAGCGUUGUCCGGAAUCAUUGGGCGUAAAGCGCGCGUAGGUGGCUUCGUAAGUCCGUUGUGAAAGUCAAAGGCUCAACCUUUGAAAGCCGAUGGAUACUGCGGAGCUAGAGUACGGAAGAGGCGAGUGGAAUUCCUGGUGUAGCGGUGGAAUGCGCAGAUAUCAGGAGGAACACCAAUAGCGAGGGCAGCUCGCUGGGACGUUACUGACACUGAGGCGCGAAAGCGUGGGGAGCGAACAGG
rnacentral:rRNA from 1 species